rnacentral:rRNA from 1 species
AAUGAACGCUGGCGGCAGGCCUAACACAUGCAAGUCGAACGCCCCGCAAGGGGAGUGGCGCACGGGUGAGUAACGCGUGGGAAUAUGCCCUUCGGUUCGGAAUAACACAGGGAAACUUUUGCUAAUACCGGAUACGAUCUACGGCUGAAAGCUUCAUCGCCGAGGCGGUAGCCCGCGUUGGAUUAGCUAGUUGGUGAGGUAAUGGCUCACCAAGGCGACGAUCCUUAGCUGGUCUGAGAGGAUGAUAAGACACACUGGGACUGAGACACGGCCCAGAUUCCUACGGGAGGCAGCAGUGGGGAAUUUUGGACAAUGGGCGAAAGCCUGAUCCAGCCAUGCCGCGUGAGUGAUGAAGGCCUUAGGGUUGUAAAGCUCUUUCGCCAGGGAAGAUAAUGACGGUACCUGGAAAAGAAGCCUCGGCUAACUCCGUGCCAGCCGCCGCAGUAA